rnacentral:rRNA from 1 species
AGAGUUUGAUCCUGGCUCAGGACGAACGCUGGCGGCGUGCCUAACACAUGCAAGUCGUACGGAGUUCACUUGGAAGCUUGCUUCCGAAUGAACUUAGUGGCGGACGGGUGAGUAACGCGUGAGCAACCUGCCUCACAGAGGGGGAUAACACACGGAAACGUGUGCUAAUACCGCAUAAUCCGAUGAAGCGGCAUCGCUUUAUCGGCAAAGGAGCAAUCCGCUGUGAGAUGGGCUCGCGUCCGAUUAGAUAGUUGGUGAGGUAACGGCUCACCAAGUCUACGAUCGGUAGCCGGACUGAGAGGUUGGACGGCCACAUUGGGACUGAGACACGGCCCAAACUCCUACGGGAGGCAGCAGUGAGGGAUAUUGCACAAUGGGCGAAAGCCUGAUGCAGCGACGCCGCGUGAGGGAUGACGGUCUUCGGAUUGUAAACCUCUGUCCUUGGUGAAGAAGAAAGUGACGGUAGCCAAGGAGGAAGCCACGGCUAACUACGUGCCAGCAGCCGCAGUAAUACGUAGGUGGCAAGCGUUGUCCGGAAUUACUGGGUGUAAAGGGAGCGCAGGCGGGCUUGCAAGUCAGCUGUGAAAUUCAAGGGCUUAACCCUUGACAUGCAGUUGAAACUACAGGUCUUGAGUGAAGUAGAGGUAGGCGGAAUUCCGAGUGUAGCGGUAAAAUGCGUAGAUAUUCGGAGGAACACCGGUGGCGAAGGCGGCCUACUGGGCUUUUACUGACGCUGAGGCUCGAA